GUCAAGUUGACACCCACGAUUAACCAUCACACCUAUAUUCAUCAUAUUAUCCACAAAAUAGAGGUGAAAAUAAGGUUUAAACAAGAAUUUUUCAAGCUAAAAUCGAUCAUCAAACAGCAAGCUGAGAAAAUCGAACAACUCCAGAAAAGCCUGCCAAUAAAAUGUGAAACCUUCAUAGGCACUCAGAAUUCGACACAAGGAGUGGGUCAAGAAAACCAUGAUAACUCAAGAGAAAAAUUCUACUGCUUCACAGAUGGGUCAUUUGGAACUCAGACUUCAAAGUCAAGUAUCUGUAGCCUCACAAAUUAAGGUUUUUGUGCAGGAAAACUCUAACAGAAUCAAUCUGGAAGGAACGAGAAUUGGAGGAUCAUUACAAAAUUUGAGGGAGUAAGUCAAGUCAAAGAAUCAUGGAACACAAAUUUAGCAGCUUAAUCAUUUGUCUCAAAAGAUGAA